CAAGCGUAUACUUCAGUAAACAGAAACGAAAACCAUCUCUAUGACUUAGAGUAUAUGACACUUGACCAUUGGAUAUAUUUGUAAAAAUUGAAUACAGUAUAAUGAGUGGUAGAAUUGCCAAAGAGGCGACACUACUUUGACUAAAUGACAAAGAUGGGAACAGUUCUUAAUUCUUCAGGAUAAUGAUACAUAAGACAACUGUCCAGGUAUUGGUCUAUGAUGCAGGAAAAUAUUAUGAACAAAAAAUAUAGUCUUGCUAUCAGCCUUAGUGUGGUACUCAAUUAAUUGUAAAGUGAUCUUAUUCGAUUUGCGAAAGCCUUUCGUAGAUGUUCAUUAGCGAACAAAUAAUUCAUCGAGGUAAUACAUUAAACUUAUAACAAAACGAUGGCAAAAACGAAAAACGACCAAAGAACAAUAGUAUACAAAUGAUUAUACAAAACUUAAGACUGAACAACAAAAUCUAAGGUGCAAUGGAACAGUUAUCAUAUCCUGUUUAACACGUGGUUCCGUCGUUUUACUCAUGGGCCAUUCUAUUAUCCAGAUCCACCAAGACAGAGACUAUUAUGUCAAUACAAAAAAGAAACCGGCGCCAAGAAAAAUGUACCUCUUCAUGUGGUCGGAAUAAUUUUUGCACAGGACUGCAAAACUCCUUUACGUAGAGUGAAAGUCGAAAUGUGGCAAGCAAACCACGAGGGGAAAUAUAAAAAUGAAACAAAUUGUAGAGGAUUUGUUAGAACAAACAAAUAUGGAAUAUAUAAACUUAAAACAAUUUAUCCUGGAAAAUAUACAACAAGUGCAAAUGCAAAUGAUUUUAGACCAGCUCAUCUCCAUUUUAAAAUAAACGGCAAGAAUGGACAUAAAAGUCUCGUAACUCAGAUGUAUUUUGCAGGUGAUAAGCAUCUUGGAGAGGUUGAUUCAUGUUAUGGCUGUUCUUCACAUAGAAAAGAUUUGAUCAUAAAACCAAAGCGUGUGUGUAAUCGCAAAAAGUUAUGUGUGGACGUAGCAGAAUUCAAUAUCACUUUAUCAAAGGGAAAAGGUUUACAUGUUUCAAAGGCAAUAUUUGAAGAGGACAAUUUAGUAUGUUAAGUGAAAUUUCAUUUGCCCUGCCAGUCUAUCAUAAACUUAAACUUACAAAAUACCAUAGAAUGUGCUUUCGUUAAUAAUUUCAAAAAUUAUUAAAAUAAAAAAAAAAGGAUUUUACCUUGGUGCUUUUACGUAAUCUGUGGUUUUAUUUUCUGACUUUCCCAACGUUUUAGUCAUGCGCAUUCUGUGUAUGUUGUUAGAGAAACAUGUGUGAUGCGAAAUGAAUUAUAUCAUUUGUUAUCGACUUAAUCUAUAUGACCACCAAAAUCAAAUACAUGAACAGUAUUUUGGUCUCAUGUAAGCAUGAUUGACUCGACUAAUGAAAUGAUUAUUGUAUAUAUGAACUAUAGACUUUAUAGUGGCAUCGGCUGUUACUGCAACUAGUCUUCCCCACUCCGAUGUAAUAUU